rnacentral:rRNA from 1 species
GUGCCUAAUACAUGCAAGUCGAGCGAACAGACGAGGAGCUUGCUCCUCUGACGUUAGCGGCGGACGGGUGAGUAACACGUGGAUAACCUACCUAUAAGACUGGGAUAACUUCGGGAAACCGGAGCUAAUACCGGAUAAUAUGUUGAACCGCAUGGUUCAAUAGUGAAAGACGGUUUUGCUGUCACUUAUAGAUGGAUCCGCGCCGCAUUAGCUAGUUGGUAAGGUAACGGCUUACCAAGGCGACGAUGCGUAGCCGACCUGAGAGGGUGAUCGGCCACACUGGAACUGAGACACGGUCCAGACUCCUACGGGAGGCAGCAGUACGGAAUCUUCCGCUAUGGGCGAAAGCCUGACGGAGCAACGCCGCGUGAGUGAUGAAGGUCUUCGGAUCGUAAAACUCUGUUAUUAGGGAAGAACGAAUGUGUAACGUAACUAUGCACGUCUUGACGGUACCCUAAUCAGAAAGCCACGGCUAUCUACGUGCCAGCAGCCGCGGUAAUACGUAGGUGGCAAGCGUUAUCCGGAAUUAUUGGGCGUAAAGCGCGCGUAGGCGGUUUUUUAAGUCUGAUGUGAAAGCCCACGGCUCAACCGUGGAGGGUCAUUGGAAACUGGAAAACUUGAGUGCAGAAGAGGAAAGUGGAAUUCCAUGUGUAGCGGUGAAAUGCGCCAGAGAUAUGGAGGA